AGAGUUUGAUCAUGGCUCAGGAUGAACGCUGGCGGCGUGCUUAACACAUGCAAGUCGAACGAACCUUCGGGUUAGUGGCGGACGGGUGAGUAACGCGUGAGAAUCUGCCCUCAGGAGGGGGAUAACGGUUGGAAACGACCGCUAAUACCCCAUAUGCCUAUUGGUGAAAUGAAUUUCGCCUGAGGAUGAGCUCGCGUCUGAUUAGCUAGUUGGUGAGGUAAUGGCUCACCAAGGCUUCGAUCAGUAGCUGGUCUGAGAGGAUGAUCAGCCACACUGGGACUGAGACACGGCCCAGACUCCUACGGGAGGCAGCAGUGGGGAAUUUUCCGCAAUGGGCGAAAGCCUGACGGAGCAACGCCGCGUGAGGGACGAAGGCCUCUGGGCUGUAAACCUCUUUUCUCAAGGAAGAAGAUAUGACGGUACUUGAGGAAUAAGCCACGGCUAAUUCCGUGCCAGCCGCCGCGGU
rnacentral:rRNA from 1 species